rnacentral:rRNA from 1 species
GACGUAGGGGGCCAGCGUUGUUCGGAAUUACUGGGUGUAAAGGGUUCGUAGGCGGUGUGGCAAGUCGGGAGUGAAAUCUCUGGGCUCAACCCAGAGUCUGCUUCCGAAACUGCUGUGCUUGAGUGUGGGAGAGGCGCGUGGAAUUCCAGGUGUAGCGGUGAAAUGCGUAGAUAUCUGGAGGAACACCGGUGGCGAAGGCGGCAUCCUGGACCGACACUGACGCUGAGGAGCGAAAGCCAGGGGAGCAAACGGG